rnacentral:lncRNA from 14 species
GUGAGGAACUGGCAUUGAUGAGCCUUUGGUCCACGCAGCGUGAUGGUCUUUGGUCUGAUCAGUUGCUGUGGGUGUGUAACUGAUGCGCCUCAUUAGAGUUCGAGAUUGUGCAAGUCUGACAUGCCUCUGCUUUGGAGACUGGGAGACAUGGAGACCGUGCCUGCUGUCCAGGGUGGCUGUGGGAGUGCAAGAGGAGUCAAAAGAACUCUACACGUGGAAGUCACUCCAUUUCCCAGAGGGAAAUGAGAAACUGCCCUCUGGCUGCUGCUUCCUGGGCAGCAUGGGUUACAUGUAA